UACGUAGGGCGCAAGCGUUGUCCGGAAUUAUUGGGCGUAAAGAGCUCGUAGGCGGCUUGUCACGUCGGGUGUGAAAGCCCGGGGCUUAACCCCGGGUCUGCAUUCGAUACGGGCUAGCUAGAGUGUGGUAGGGGAGAUCGGAAUUCCUGGUGUAGCGGUGAAAUGCGCAGAUAUCAGGAGGAACACCGGUGGCGAAGGCGGUUAGCUGGGCAGUUGCUGACACUGAGGCGCGACAGCGUGGGGGAGCAAACAGG
rnacentral:rRNA from 1 species